CCAGGGGCGGAUCGCACGCGACGGUGAUUGGGAUUUUUUUCCUCCAUCCUCCCAUUCCCCGUUCCCACUCCACUCCUCACUACGCCGGCGACGAGCGAAACCCCAAUCCCCCACGAAAUCCCUACGGCUUCGCGGCGAGCUAGCCGGCGACGAGUCAAUUGACGGAGAAAGGUGACGCGCCCAGCGAAGGAUCCCGCCCAGCAUCCGACGGGUGAGGGCGGCGCGCGCGUGCCGGAGAAGGAGGAGAAGGAAGUGGCGAUGGGGAAGGAGAAGAAGGAAGCGACACGAAGCUCUGCGCGAAGCGGGGGACGACCCGGAGACGCGAGAUCCUGCUGAUUCGACGCCUCGAGGAAAAAACCAAAAUUGAAAAACUAGGGGGGAGGGCAUCUUUUUCAGUAUCCCUGGAGUGGCAGUUUUUAAGAUGGAUGACUACCCAUAUCAACAGAAUGGCGAGGGUGCAGCAAGAACCGACGCGGCGGCCAGGAACAAAGAUGUGGGUUUACAAGUCCGUAGGCGACCAAGAAAUAAGCAGGUUCAGUCUGGGCAAAGGCAUGGGACAACAAACGCAUAGGGAAAGUCACAAAAGCUGACAAAAAACCAGAGGGUGGAUACGGCAAGCUUCCCAAGAAAGGUGCAAGACAAUAGUCAAGAAACAAUUCAAGAGCCAGCAACUUUAUCUAGCAUCAUGGUUGUACAGGAGGCAAGAACAGGGAGAUCAGAUUUGGGGCAAAGAUUCAAGUCAGCCUUGCAACAUUUUUUGGCUACAUGGAGGCAAAUCUGCAAGUAGUAUAGCAAUGGGGGGUAGGUACAUCUGAGGAGUUCAACUAGCUAUAGUAGAACUAAAAAGUAUCUCAUGGUCAAAAAAAUUCCAACGACCCUGUUACCUUUCUGGCAGUUUGCCCAGUUCUGGCAAUUUUUUUGCCCACAUUUUCUUCAGAUUGUUGCCUGAUCAGCACAAAGAGUUGCAGAGAAAGAUUGUUGACUGAUCAGCACAAAGAGUUGCAGAGAAGGUUGUGUUCUUCACGA